GGUCUUACUGACUUUAAGAAUGAAGUUGCGGACUUUUGCGGUGAGUAUUACAGCUUUUAAGGUGGCGCGUCUGGAGUUUGUUCUUUCUGAUGUUUGGAUGUGUUUGGAAUUUCUUCUUUCUGGUGGGUUUGUGGUCUUGCUGGCUUAGGAGUGAAGCUGCAGACUUUCGUGGUGAUCCACCCUACCACAUAUUGUCUCCUAAUGGCCGUCCAGUUUAUCCUGGAGCCCUUGCAUGACACAGGCCUAUCGAAGCAUAGGAGAUGCCAAUAUUUUACCUCUUGGGUACUUUCUGUGUAGAAGAUUCAUAACAAGAACAAUACUUAUUCUGCAAUUCUUUAUAUAAAGUAAGAAGAAAGCCCAAAGACAAAACCAGAGGCAACUGGCUGCUGCAUCGCCCACCUAGUGGCAGUAGUGUGAGCUAUGGACAAAAGAUCUAAGUCUCCAGGACAAAGAGUUGUGCAGCUGCUCAUUUUCCUGUUGACUUCUGUCUAAGACUUGGAGAUGUUUGUAAGAUUGGGACCUACCUACAGAGGUAUCACACUCCUCUUGGUCUAACUCACUCUUGAACUGACAUUCGUGGUGAAUUUCUUUUGUCACUUAGCAUAUUAGAAGAGAUGUUUUACUAUAAUUCUCACAAUCAAUCCAUAAGCAAGUGGUUAAAGGCCUUUUUGUACUUAGUUAU
rnacentral:lncRNA from 1 species